GACGAACGCUGGCGGCGUGCUUAACACAUGCAAGUCGAACGGUCAUGCUCCAGCUUUCUGGCGUGGAUCAGUGGCGAACAGGGGAGUAACACGUGAGCAACCUGCCCCAGACACUGGAAUAAGCGCUGGAGACGGCGGCUCAUACUGGAUACGAAACUGUCCCGCGUGUGCAUGGUUUGUAAAGGACGUCGGUUUUGGAUGGUCUCGCUGGCUAUCAGCUUGUUUGUGAGGUAAUGGCGGACCAAGGCAACGACGGGUAGCCGGCCUGAGAGGGCGACCGGCCACAAUGCGACUGAGAGACGGCGCAGACUGCUACGGGCGGCAGCAGUGGGGAAUAUUGCACAACGGGCGCAAGCCUGAUGCAGAGGCGCUGCGUGCGGGAUGACGGCCUUCGGGUUGUAAACAUCUGUCAGCAGGGAAGAAGAGAAAGUGACGGUACCUGCAGAAGAAGCCACGGCUAACUACGUG
rnacentral:rRNA from 1 species